AGGAGCUCCCUGUGUUUUCGGUGGGCUUUGUCUUAGCCCCACAGGUGUGACUGAUUUCCAGCUUCAGCGGCUCCCAACAGGAAAUGUCUUCCCCCAUGGUUCUGGAACAAGAGAAAAUGGGUUUUGUGAAAGGAUGAAAGAUCUAACAGCAUGUUUAGAAGUCACUAUCAACCUGCUAGAUAUGCUGAUGAAUUUUUGGAAGACACAGAACAGAUGGAAUUGGAUUGACAGAGGGGUGCCUGUGACCCAUAAAUUGAAAGCGGAUACCAUUUAAGUGUGAAUUUUCCCUGCUGAAUAGAAGGCAAAGUCCCAGAUCAGAGAUUCAAGACUUGCAAAAAAGAAAUAAGCCCAAAGAUGGUCACUGUGGCGAUUAUCAAAAAGUCUGAACCAGCAUUUGCUGCAGUUUAUAAACAUAGAAAAGAUUCUUAAAACAAAUGGAACAAAAAUUCAGCACGAAUAUUGAUUCCAGGGUAAGAGUGGAAUAAAGCAGGAGAGAAGAGCUCCGAGGCUCAGAAGGCAGCUUCCUCUGCUUAUAUUCUCCUGUUCCCAGUACCUGCUGAGAAAGCAGAAGAAAAGUGCGCAAAGAAAGUCUGAUCCUGAAGAGGAAAAGCCUCAAUAGCUUCUGCAGAAUCAGAGGUGGAAGAAUCUAAAAUGGCCAUCUGUGUACUGCAGAAAUGAAGCAUCCAGUGGCAGUGAAAAGUCAAAGGCCUGAAAGUUCCCUGCAGUCACCAGUGUGAGUCUGUGUUGGAAGGUGGAAAUGUCCCCUCUGCAAUGCCAAAGAGGCUGCACUGCAGACUGAAGAGUCUGUACUGCAAAGCCGCCUGGCCUUUCAGAGCAGCCCGGAGACCAACAUCCAAAUGCAAUGAUAAAGACAGGAUUUCUUCCAGAUAAGAAAAAGAGAGAUUUCCUUCUUCUUUCUUUUAUUCUUCCAUCCCGGGUACAAGUCUACUAAUUAGUCCCGCCCACAUCCAGGAUGGGUCUUCCCUCCUCAGCUUUCAGCUUACAUGUCAAUCAUCUGCUGAUGCACCCAGAGCUUUACUAAGCUGCUAGGCAAUUCUUUUUCUUUUGUUUUGGUUUUUCUCCGGUACCGGGAACCGAACUCACGACCUUGCGCUUGCCAGGCAGGCGCUUUUGCCGCUGAGCUAAAUCCCCAGGCCCUGCUAGGCAAUUCUUAACUAAAACUGACAUAUCACAACUAAUGAUCACAAUAUUCUUUCCAAUAACUUAUCUUUACAAUUAUAUUUUAAGGAAAAUGAAACUGAAGUAUAUUAUUUACAUAAUUAAAAUAGUAAUGAGUUAUAAUUUAACCUCUAUUCAACUCAAAGAUCUUUUCUGUAAUGCUCUUGUUGCUGUUUCAGUCUUUUAAAAAAUAAGGGCACAAUCUUUCAUCAUCAGCUCAUUCUUUUGAUGGGAUUUUUAGGAUAAUCUGUUAGUUCAGCUUCUCUGUAAGUUGUUCUGGGUGUUGUCCUGCGAUAGUAUCAGCUCCUUUUAAUAUGUGCUAUUUUAGAAUGAUGCAGGUAAUGUUGGCACUGCUUUUCAGUUUUACAAGAGUUUGAUAAAAUAAACAUAACAGGAGUCUAAAAAGGAAGAUAUUUUAACAUUUCAGAAAAUGAAAGUUAAGUGGAUAGUCCAGGCAGAAGCUGCUUCACACAAAGACGGUAAUAAACAUGAAAUGAGUUACCAGAGAAAGAAACUGGAGAAAAAGAUUGUAAAUGAGAUUGAGUCACUUAGAUUUAUUUUUCAAGAACAGUCAAGGAUUACUGGGAAUGGAAAAUGGUAAAAUUGAGGUCAAUUGACAAGACGGGGCCAAUGCUAUGGAAACUCAGCUACGCUUCUAAGAUCCACAUUACGUCCAGGCCAGAUUGUGUCCCUCAGCGAACUUUAAUAAUAUCCACACCAAAAGAAGUAUGGGGGAAAAUUAAUAUAUUUACAAAAACAUCAGCAUUUCAUCUCCUGCCAGAAAUGUUGAUAGCAGGGGUUACAAAGGCUAGUACUUAUGCCUAAUAAAGAAAGAGCA